UACGUAGGGUGCAAGCGUUGUCCGGAAUUAUUGGGCGUAAAGAGAACGUAGGCGGUUUCUUAAGUUUGGGCUUAAAGACUGGGGCUCAACCCCAGGAGUGGCUCGAAAACUGAGAGACUAGAGGAUGGCAGAGGAAAGUGGAAUUCCCAGUGUAGCGGUGGAAUGCGCAGAUAUCAGGAGGAACACCAAUAGCGAAGGCAGCUCGCUGGGACGUUACUGACACUGAGGCGCGAAAGCGUGGGGAGCGAACAGG
rnacentral:rRNA from 1 species